rnacentral:tRNA from 2 species
GGGCCAGUAGCUCAGCUGGUUAGAGCGUCUGCCUCUUAAGCAGAAUGUCGAGGGUUCGAGUCCCUCCUGGCCCUCCA